UCCCGUGGCCUAGUGGUGAGAGCGUCCGCCUCAGAUGCGGGAGGGCGGUUGCGGAUUCAAUCCCCGGUCGAGUCAU